rnacentral:rRNA from 1 species
AGUGAACGCUGGCGGAAUGCUUUACACAUGCAAGUCGAACGGCAGCACGGGGGCAACCCUGGUUGCGAGUGGCGAACGGGUGAGUAAUACAUCGGAACGUGCCCGUUCGUGGGGGAUAACGUAGCGAAAGUUACGCUAAUACCGCAUACGAUCUGAGGAUGAAAGCGGGGGACCUUCGGGCCUCGCGCGAUCGGGGCGGCCGAUGUCAGAUUAGGUAGUUGGUGGGGUAAAGGCCUACCAAGCCGACGAUCUGUAGCUGGUCUGAGAGGACGACCAGCCACACUGGGACUGAGACACGGCCCAGACUCCUACGGGAGGCAGCAGUGGGGAAUUUUGGACAAUGGGCGCAAGCCUGAUCCAGCCAUUCCGCGUGCAGGACGAAGGCCUUCGGGUUGUAAACUGCUUUUGUAUGGAAAGAAAAGGCUCUGGCUAAUACCUGGGGCUCAUGACGGUACCGUAAGAAUAAGCACCGGCUAACUACGUG